rnacentral:rRNA from 1 species
UACGUAGGGGGCAAGCGUUGUCCGGAUUUAUUGGGCGUAAAGAGCGUGUAGGCGGCCAGAUAGGUCCGUUGUGAAAACUCGAGGCUCAACCUCGAGACGCCGAUGGAAACCAUCUGGCUAGAGUCCGGAAGAGGAGAGUGGAAUUCCCGGUGUAGCGGUGAAAUGCGCAGAUAUCGGGAGGAACACCAGUAGCGAAGGCGGCACUCUGGGCCGGUACUGACGCUGAGGAGCGAAAGCGUGGGGAGCAAACAGG